rnacentral:misc_RNA from 1 species
UUAAGUUCAGCGGGUAUCCUUGUCUGAUCCGAGGUCAAGAUUGAAGAUGUGGAGUUGUGGCAGGCGUCUAGUCAGGUAUCCUCGAGCACGAACUCUGCUGCGCUCUGGGCUGACUUUACCACCGCCGAUGUUUUUAAGGCGAGUCCCUUCACCAAGGAAGGGACAAGGACGCCCAACACCAAGCUGAGCUUGAAGGUUCA